UACGUAGGGGGCAAGCGUUGUCCGGAAUCAUUGGGCGUAAAGCGCGUGUAGGCGGUUCAGUAAGUCUGCUGUGAAAGUCCAGGGCUCAACCCUGGGAUGCCGGUGGAUACUGCUGAACUAGAGUACGGAAGAGGCGAGUGGAAUUCCCGGUGUAGCGGUGAAAUGCGUAGAGAUGCGGAGGAACACCGAUGGCGAAGGCAGCCCCCUGGGCUGACACUGACGCUCAGGCACGAAAGCGUGGGGAGCAAACAGG
rnacentral:rRNA from 1 species